UAAACUUCAGCAUUGUGAUUUGAUUACCAUGAUACUGUCGCCUUGGUAUUUAACGAGGAAAAAGUUUAUCAAAAUGAUGCAAAUAAUAAAAGCUCUCGUGGUGUCAGUCGGUGUGGUAGCUGCUUAUCAUUAUUAUGUAAAUAAACCAUAAGAUUAUUGAUCUGUUGUUGAAAAUUCGAAAUUAUACAUCAAAAAUGGAUAGAAUAGAGCAAUUGAAGUUGAUACUACUAGUGUUAUCGAUGGGGUCCAUCGUGCAGUACACAUACGGUAUUUACAAACCUCCAACUACCCUAUUGAUGAAAUACGAAGAGGAGGUAGGUGUACAGCCUACACCAAUAAGCGAUGAUAGCGACGCGGCAAUACAAAACUACGAAAACUAACAACUCAAAACUAUUUGAAGUAAAUGCUUGAUUCUA